rnacentral:rRNA from 1 species
AUGGGCAAUUUUAAAUUUCAAUCUUUAAGAUUGGCGGCCUUGACCAAGGUAAGUGUGUUCGCACGUUGUUAGCAAAAAGGGGUUAGCCAAUAAAUUCCAUUUUGGUCCUUUUUAAAUUAGAAAGUUCUAGCGAGUGAAAUGGUUUCGAUGAAAAAAUAUGUUUUGGUUUAUUUUAAAAGAAAAAUUUAAUUUUUUAGUUAAAAAGCUAAAAUUUUAUUAUGGGACGAGAAGACCCCUAUAGAACUUUAUUUUUAAAUUUAUAAAUUUAAUAUAGAAUAUUAUAUGAUAUAUAAUGAUUAAAUUUUGUUGGGGUGACAGAAAAAAUAUAAUAACUUCUUCUAUAUUUUUCAUUAUUGUUGAAUUUUUGAUCCUUUCUUAUGGAUAUAAGAUUAAGUUACCUUAGGGAUAACAGCGUUAUUAUUUUAGAGAGUUCAUAUCGAUAAAGUAGUUUGCGACCUCGAUGUUGGCAUUAUAAUAAGAUAUAGGAGUAGAAUAUUAUUAUCUAGGUCUGUUCGACCUU